rnacentral:rRNA from 1 species
GGACUACUGGGGUAUCUAAUCCCGUUCGCUCCCCUAGCUUUCGCGCUUCAGCGUCAGUGUCAGCCCAGCAACCCGCCUUCGCCGCAGGUGUUCCUCUCGAUAUCUACGCAUUUCACCGCUACACCGAGAAUUCCAGUUGCCCCUUCUGCACUCUAGCCCCGCAGUUUCGGCUGACCUUUCCGGGUUAAGCCCGGAGAUUUCACAGUCGACUUGCGGUGGCCGCCUACGCGCCCUUUACGCCCAGUAAAUCCGAACAACGCUUGCUCCCCCCGUAUUACCGCGGCUGCUGGCAC